UCAAAGCAAAGCUGUGGCCAAGAUGGGCUGC
rnacentral:piRNA from 1 species